rnacentral:rRNA from 1 species
AUGGCGGCGGAGUCGGCAGGCGGCGAAGCCGGCCGUCCGGGUCGCGGCGGAGACGGCGGGCGGCGAAGCCGGCAGUCCGGGUCGCUGCAGAGACGGCGGGCGGCGAAGCCGGCAGUCCCGGUAGCGGCGGAGACGGCGGGCAGCGAAGCCGGCCGUCCGGGUCGCGGCGGAGACUGCGGGCGACGAAGCCGGCAGUCCGGGUCGCAGCGGAGACGACGGGCGGCGAAGCCGGCAGUCCGGGUCGCGGCAGAGACGGCGGGCGAUGAAGCUGGCAGUGGGCGCGGUCGGGACACGGGAUCCGGCGGGUGGCACAGGAGCCGGCCCUGGCCGGGCGCGCGGAACGGAGGCGGAGUCGACAGGGGAGCGACGUGCAACUGUGGCCUGCUCAGCCACACCGCAGCAGCCGUGGCAGGGAACCACUCGGGGCGGAGGAGACCUCGAUCCAGAGGAGUGUCACGGGAGGAGGCUCACAGGUGGACGAGGGGGCGGAGGCCGGCCCACGGCGACCAGGAGGACGGAGGCGGAGGCGGACGGAGGAGUCUCUCGGAGCUACGGGUGGCGCAGGAGGAGGCUGGACCUGGUGCGUGGAGCCGGCAGCCAGCGCCUGGGAGGCGUGGAACCGGCCGGGAGCGGAGACGGCGUGGGAUGAGGCCCGACGCGCGGGACACAGGCGCGGAACAGCCGGCCUCUGCACAUGGGCGCAGCAGUCCAGCCGCGCUGGGGGCGGAGCAAGCAGCCGUGACAUGGCCGGGGCGCAGCGGCUCCGGCGCCGCGGGUGGGAGUCACGACGAGCAGCCACGGGGCCGCGGGCGCAGGCGCUCGGCCGUUGCUGCUGCUGAAAGCUCGAAGACUAUUGUAUGGAUAGUGCGUGGCUAG